rnacentral:rRNA from 1 species
AGAGUUUGAUCAUGGCUCAGGAUGAACGCUAGCGGCAGGCUUAACACAUGCAAGUCGAGGGGUAGUAGUAGCAAUACUAUGAGACCGGCAAACGGGUGCGGAACACGUACACAAUCUACCUUUAUCUGGGGCAUAGCCCGAAGAAAUUCGGAUUAAUUCCCCAUAAUAUAAUUGAGUGGCAUCACUUGGUUAUUAAAACUCCGGUGGAUAGAGAUGAGUGUGCGUCCCAUUAGCUAGUUGGUAGGGUAACGGCCUACCAAGGCGACGAUGGGUAGCUGGUGUGAGAGCACGACCAGCCACACGGGCACUGAGACACGGGCCCGACUCCUACGGGAGGCAGCAGUGAGGAAUAUUGGUCAAUGGACGCAAGUCUGAACCAGCCAUGCCGCGUGAAGGAUGAAGGCCUUCUGGGUUGUAAACUUCUUUUAUGUGGGAAGAAAACUACGGUUUCUACUGUAGCCGACGGUACCAUAGGAAUAAGCACCGGCUAACUCCGUGCCAGCAGCCGCGGUAAUACGGAGGGUGCAAGCGUUAUCCGGAUUCACUGGGUUUAAAGGGUGUGUAGGCGGGCUGUUAAGUCAGUGGUGAAAUCUCCGGGCUCAACCCGGAAACUGCCAUUGAUACUAUCAGUCUUGAAUUCUGUUGAGGUGGGCGGAAUAUGUCGUGUAGCGGUGAAAUGCAUAGAUAUGACAUAGAACACCAAUUGCGAAGGCAGCUCACUAAGCAGCGAUUGACGCUGAGGCACGAAAGCGUGGGGAUCAAACAGGAUUAGAUACCCUAGUAGUCC